rnacentral:rRNA from 1 species
GAGUAACACGUGGGUGAUCUGCCCUGUACUUCGGGAUAAGCCUGGGAAACUGGGUCUAAUACCGGAUAUGACCUUACAUCGCAUGGUGUUUGGUGGAAAGAUUUAUCGGUACAGGAUGGGCCCGCGGCCUAUCAGCUUGUUGGUGGGGUAAUGGCCUACCAAGGCGACGACGGGUAGCCGGCCUGAGAGGGCGACCGGCCACACUGGGACUGAGACACGGCCCAGACUCCUACGGGAGGCAGCAGUGGGGAAUAUUGCACAAUGGGCGAAAGCCUGAUGCAGCGACGCCGCGUGAGGGAUGACGGCCUUCGGGUUGUAAACCUCUUUCGACAGGGACGAAGCGCAAGUGACGGUACCUGUAGAAGAAGCACCGGCCAACUACGUGC